rnacentral:rRNA from 1 species
ACGAACGCUGGCGGCAGGCUUAACACAUGCAAGUCGAACGCCCGUAGCAAUACGGGAGUGGCGCACGGGUGAGUAACGCGUGGGAACCUACCCUUUGGUUCGGGACAACCCAGGGAAACUUGGGCUAAUACCGGAUGAGUUCCGCUGGUCGAGAGGCUGGCGGAAGAAAGAUUUAUCGCCGAAGGAGGGGCCCGCGUCGGAUUAGGUAGUUGGUGGGGUAACGGCCUACCAAGCCUGCGAUCCGUAGCCGGUCUGAGAGGAUGAUCGGCCACACUGGGACUGAGACACGGCCCAGACUCCUACGGGAGGCAGCAGUGGGGAAUAUUGGACAAUGGGCGCAAGCCUGAUCCAGCCAUGCCGCGUGGAUGAUGAAGGCCUUAGGGUUGUAAAGUCCUUUUAACGGGGAAGAUAAUGACGGUACCCGUAGAAUAAGCCCCGGCUAACUUCGU